rnacentral:rRNA from 1 species
CUGCGGAGGGAUCAUUACCGAGUUUACAACUCCCAAACCCCUGUGAACAUACCUAUACGUUGCCUCGGCGGAUCAGCCCGCGCCCCGUAAAACGGGACGGCCCGCCCGAGGACCCCUAAACUCUGUUUUUAGUGGAACUUCUGAGUAAAACAAACAAAUAAAUCAAAACUUUCAACAACGGAUCUCUUGGUUCUGGCAUCGAUGAAGAACGCAGCAAAAUGCGAUAAGUAAUGUGAAUUGCAGAAUUCAGUGAAUCAUCGAAUCUUUGAACGCACAUUGCGCCCGCCAGUAUUCUGGCGGGCAUGCCUGUUCGAGCGUCAUUUCAACCCUCAAGCUCAGCUUGGUGUUGGGACUCGCGGUAACCCGCGUUCCCCAAAUCGAUUGGCGGUCACGUCGAGCUUCCAUAGCGUAGUAAUCAUACACCUCGUUACUGGUAAUCGUCGCGGCCACGCCGUAAAACCCCAACUUCUGAAUGUUGACCUCGGAUCAGGUAGGAAUACCCGCUGAACUUAAGCAUAUCAAUAA